rnacentral:rRNA from 1 species
UACGAAGGGGGCUAGCGUUGCUCGGAAUCACUGGGCGUAAAGCGCACGUAGGCGGAUUGCUAAGUCAGGGGUGAAAGCCCAGAGCUCAACUCUGGAAUUGCCUUUGAGACUGAGGGGCUUGAGUACGAGAGAGGUGAGUGGAAUUCCCAGUGUAGAGGUGAAAUUCGUAGAUAUUGGGAAGAACACCGGUGGCGAAGGCGGCUCACUGGCUCGUAACUGACGCUCAUGCACGACAGCGUGGGGAUCAAACAGG